rnacentral:rRNA from 1 species
AGCGGAGGAAAAGAAACUAACAAGGAUUCCCCUAGUAACGGGCGAGCGAAGCGGGAAGAGCUCAAAUUUGAAAGCUGGCGUCUUCGGCGUCCGCGUUGUAAUCUCGAGACGUGUUUUCCGUGCGGCUCUAUGGACAAGUCCCUUGGAACAGGGCAUCGUAGAGGGUGAAAAUCCCGUACUUGCCAUGGAAGUACCGUGCUUUGUGAUACACGCUCCAAGAGUCGAGUAGUUUGGGAUUGCUGCUCAAAGUGGGUGGUAGACUCCAUCUAAAGCUAAAUAUCGGGGAGAGACCGAUAGCGAACAAGUACCGUGAGGGAAAGAUGAAAAGCACUUUGGAAAGAGAGUUAAAAGUACGUGAAAUUGUCGAAAGGGAAGCACUUGAAGUCAGCCAUGCUGCUUGAGACUCAGCCUGGCUUUUGCUUGGUGUAUUUCUCGGUAGCAAGCCAGCAUUGGUUUGUGUCGUCGGAGAAGCGUAUGGGGAAUGUGGCAUCCUCGGAUGUGUUAUAGCCCUGUGCAGGAUACGACGGCGUAGACCAAGGAACGCAGUGUGCCCUCUGGGCGGGUCUUCGGACACCUUCACACUUAGGAUGCUGGCGUAAUGGCUUUAAGUGGCCCGUCUUGAAACACGGACCAAGGAGUCUAACAUGUGUGCGAGUUUUUGGGUGGCAAACCCAUGAGCGUAAUGAAAGUGAAUGCAGGUGGGAUCCGCAAGGAGCACCAUCGACCGGCCCUGAUGUUCUCGGAUGGGUCUGCGUAAGAGCAUAUAUGUUGGGACCCGAAAGAUGGUGAACUAUGCCUGAAUAGGGCGAAGCCAGAGGAAACUCUGGUGGAGGCUCGCAGCGGUUCUGACGUGCAAAUCGAUCGUCAAAUUUGGGUAUAGGGGCGAAAGACUAAUCGAACCAUCUAGUAGCUGGUUCCUGCCGAAGUUUCCCUCAG